rnacentral:rRNA from 1 species
GACGAACGCUGGCGGCGUGCUUAACACAUGCAAGUCGAGCGGUAAGGCCCUUUCGGGGUACGACGAGCGGCGAACGGGUGAGUAACACGUGGGUGACCUGCCCUCAGCUCUGGGAGUAAAGCCUGGGAAACCGGGGUACUAAUACUGGAUAUGACUCCAUGACGCAUGUUGUGGGGUGGAAAGCCUUGUGCGGCUGAGGAUGGGCCCGCGGCCUAUCAGCUUGUUGGG